rnacentral:rRNA from 1 species
CACGACUACGAGUUUGAUCCUGGCUCAGGAUGAACGCUAGCGGCAGGCCUAAUACAUGCAAGUCGAACGGAUAUAUGUUUUUCGGAAUAUAUAUUAGUGGCGCACGGGUGAGUAACACGUACAUAACUUGCCCUCAAGCGGGGGAUAGCCUUGGGAAACUGAGAGUAAUACCCCAUAGAAUUAUUGGACGGCAUCGUUUGAUAAUUAAAACUACGGUGUUUGGGGAUAGAUGUGCGUCUGAUUAGCUAGUUGGUGAGGUAACUGCUCACCAAGGCGACGAUCAGUAGGGGGCGUGAGAGCGUGGCCCCCCACACGGGUACUGAGACACGGACCCGACUCCUACGGGAGGCAGCAGUAAGGAAUAUUGGUCAAUGGAGGGAACUCUGAACCAGCCAUGCCGCGUGAAGGAUGACGGCCCUCUGGGUUGUAAACUUCUUUUGGAUGGGGCGAAAAAACGGGAUUUAUCCUGGACUGACGGUACCAUCAGAAUAAGCACCGGCUAACUCCGUG